GUGAUGAUCUCAAAUACCAAAACUAAAGGUGAUGAAUCGGUGUCAGAUUUUCAUAGUGGUUUGCUUAACCUACAGCUGCUUUUUUUUUCCCCUCUGUUUAGCUGAAUACAGUUGUCUCUGCAUAGUCAUCUGCUGCUGGCUGGCUGGUGCUAAGGAUUUAGUAACCACAGAAUUCAGCUUUUCAGCUGAAAAGAGGGAGAAUCACAGAAUAUACCCAAGAGACUGCUGGAGAUCACCUACUCCAACCUGCCCCUACCAGAGCAGGGUCACAGAGCAGGUUGCCCAGGAUCACAAUGUCCAGAUGCAAAGCAGUAAAAAGGAGAGAAAAAAGAAGAUGGUUGGACACAAAGAAAGAGUGCAGAUAUCUGGGCUGAAAAGCUAAGGGGAAAAACACAUUGGGUGAAGAGCAUGGAAAGAAGAGGAACUAAGCUAGGUGAGACUGAGCUGAUAGAUUUCAGAACCAUAAAGAAGUUUCCAAGGAAAAAGCAGGAAGCUAUCUGAAAGGAGCACAGCUGAAGGAGUUGUCCACCAAAUCCAUGACUAAAACAAUUUCCAGUUUUCUGUGAGGUAGGGAAGAUGAUUAGAGUUGGUUGACUGAAGUGUUUGUGCUUCACAUGUCUUUCUCACUGCUUACACUCAAGCUGCUCCUCUGAUGGUGUUCCUACUACAGGUUCCUGGGUUUAUUUUGGUGGGUUGGAUUUUUUCCAAGAUCAGAUAGAUCUCUCUCUCCUUAUUUUUCUAAAGAGGGCAUUAGUUUGCCUCCCACACCUCCACACAUUCUUGAAAUUCACAUUAAACAGCUGCAAGUAAACACAUGUGAAACCAUGGCUAAGAGUCAAAGCAGGACCAGAGGACAUUUGUUAGGGCUGGAUUCCUCAGAGUCUAUACUCUGUAUUUUGAGUCAGUGUGUUAAAAGCAAGAAAAAAGAGGCUGAUUCACCAAGUGAACAAGUCAGUUAUUUAGGAACUCCAAGCUUCCUGCCAUUUUAAAAGUUUUAACAUUUCACCCCCCAGUAAUAUCAGAAUUUGUUCUGGGACCUAGUUAGGAAUUCAGUAUUAGGACCAAAUGCAGCUCCCCUGGCUGUAAGAUGGUUGGUUCUCCUCAGCCAGCAGAAGUUAUGCCACUGCUUGAACCAAAAAGCCAGUGCCACAGCUGUACCCUGGCAGGCUCUGAGUCUGACACACGUUCUCUCCCCCACCUCCAAAGCUGACAACCUGCCAUGUACAAAGCACCAGCUACACUAACUUUAAUAGCUUUAUUCCCAAUGCAUUUUGCUCUACAUUCCACUAAGUUCUCUUUAAUGCUUUAGCUUCACCUCAUGCCGUGAUAAAUAAACAGCCACAGCAUUUACAAAAUGCA